rnacentral:rRNA from 1 species
CCGGAAGGUGCGGCUGGAUCACCUCCUUUC